rnacentral:snRNA from 1 species
GGACGUAAAGAUGAUCUGGCUGCUAAAUCUGUCAACCCAUUGUUCACUAGAGUUGGUUUGGCUGAACUGGCUUACUAAGCAGGUGCCUCUUUUUCCCCUCAUUACUCCUUGUGUGUCCCUCUUGAACUUGUGCACUUAGUUGAAGAAAAGGAGUUCUCUAUUCUUCCCUGUUCCAGAGACAGCCACAUCUGACAGUGCAGUGCCAGCCUCAUCCUGUAGACACAAUGGUGAAGGUCAGUGUGAACAGAUUUGGACUUUGGGGCAUCUGAUUACCAGAGCUGCCUUCGGCUUUGCAGUUGGCAAAGUGGAGAUUGUU